rnacentral:piRNA from 1 species
UACUAACUUUGUGUUUAAAAAGUGGGCU